UGUCCUACGGGGGGCAGCAGUCGAGAAUCAUUCACAAUGGGGGAAACCCUGAUGGUGCGACGCCGCGUGGGGGAAUGAAGGUCUUCGGAUUGUAAACCCCUGUCAUGUGGGAGCAAAUUAAAAAGAUAGUACCACAAGAGGAAGAGGCGGCUAACUCUGUGCCAGCAGCCGCGGUAAUACAGAGGUCUCAAGCGUUGUUCGGAAUCACUGGGCGUAAAGCGUGCGUAGGCUGUUUUGUAGGUCGUGUGUGAAAGGCGCGGGCCCACCCCGGGGACGGCAC
rnacentral:rRNA from 1 species